UUUAUUGAGUAUUAAUUUAUAGAGGUUCUACUGUAAUAUGAUUUGUGAGUCUAUUUGAAAAUUACAUGAUAACUAUCUUACAAACAGUGGAAGCACCCUUACUUAAAGGCUUUUACACCCAUGUAUAUGGUUUAAAUCCCAAACUAUACACUUUCUUGCAGAUUAUAAGAUGCAAGCUUUCGGGGGUUCCAGAGUACUGUAGGCUGAGCAGUUCGUUGUGAUCGCAUGCUACGGAGAGAGCAUGUACAUUGAUGAUGCGUACAUGCAGAACCGUCCGUUGAUCCAAAUGUUUUGAAAACAACUUCAUCAUGAAUCCUUAUUUGUGGAGUUGUUCAUCAAUAUUAUAUAUGUUGCAGGUCAUUAGAUAUGGAAAUUGGGAACCUGGACCCAGGCCUGGCCCAAUAUAAUACAAGAAAAUAUAGUGACUCCCGACAAAAUUCUCAAAGGAGAAAAAUCCAUCAGAAACUUCUAAAGGAUUUCCGACCAAAUAUCGACAAAAUAAAAAGUCUAGAAUCCGUCGGAAAUUUAAUUACUAAAAUCCGUCUGAAUUUCCGAAGGAAUGUUUUUAAAAUAAAUAUUUAUUUAAAUCCAUCGGUAAUCGUCAAAAAUUUCCGACGGGUUCCCAACAGAUUUCGGGAUUAAGGUUGAAAAAUAGGUGUAAAAUUCAUAAAAUUUGAUUCAUUAUAGAUCCAUGAGUACUAUAAAAACAUUUUAAAACUCCAUAUGAUAUAACAUAUGGUCAAUAAACGUAUAUUACUAAAUUUAAAUAAAAUAAAUCAAAAGAAUCCCUUUGAAUGUUAACAUAUCAUAUACUUACAUGAAUGAUUUUGAGAAUUGGUCCAUAGUAUUUUCAAAUCUAUAUUAAAAGUGAUUCCGAAGGUGUUCAACCAUAAAACUCAUUAAAUCAUUUGUAUAAUGAAUAUGGAUAUUUUUGAUAUGUUUUUCUUUGUAUUUGCUAACUUUAAACCCCCCCUCCAAAAUCGUCAGAUAUUCGUCAGAAAUUCGUCAUGAAUCCUUCAGAAAAUUGAUUUUCGAUAACUCGGUGUUUAGAGUUGUUGAACGAAAAUAAAAUUCAUGACGGAUUACAAAUGGAAUCGGGAAUCUAAAAAUCCCCCCCCCCCCCCGAAAAAAGAAAGCGCCAAUUUUUUUGGCAACCGUCUAAAAGUAAAAAUUUCCAACGGAUUUCCGACGGAUGCGGAUCCAUCAGGAAUUUUUAAUACAUAAUUUGGUCUCUUCUCUUCUCCUACUUCAUUCUAUCCUCUCUCUCAAAUAUACCAAACUCUUUUCUCUCUCAAAAAUACAUUAAACUUCUCUCUUCUCCUCAAGAACACAAUCAAAAUCAAAUCUUUCUCUUUCAUAUUUUUCUAAUAUGUAAGUUUUUUUAUUUAAAAUAGAUUGUAGAGUAGUUUUAUGUUAAGUUGUUGGUUUUCAGGACUUGAAGGUGGGCAAAAAACCGAACCAAAUCACGCGUCAAACCUUACCGAUCCAAACUGAAAGUCUAUGAUCAAAUAGUUUGGUUUAAGAUUUUCCUAACCCGAACCAACCAAACCGAAACCAAUCAAAACAGAACCGAACCGAGAAACCAAUGUAUUUUUGUUAUUAUUUUAAUUAAACAUACUAGCAUUAUACAAGAUACUAAAACCCUAAGACUAAUGUCACUAAACCCAUAUAUUUUCCAUUUUUAUUCAAUAGCAUAUAUUUUCUAAAAUAAUAUGUAAUCCAAAUUUUUGAUUUAAAAAAAACUCUUGAAUUAUUUUAUGUAAACGGACGCUGCGUAAUACCAAAACUAAGUAUCAUUUAAAACAAACAUUCUCCAUAACGUCUCUUUCCCUCUCCAUAAUUUUUUUAUUUACUUUAGUUAAUUUUGGUUUGAUUGUGUUUGUAAAAACUCUUUUUGUGGUUUUUAAAGGUUUAAGUUUUAGUUUUCUAUUGACUUUAGUUUACAUAGUUUAUUUUAUUAUCACUUGCGUGAUAAUUUCAUAACCAUGCGUUUAUGUUUUAAAACAUUAUUUUCUUAAAAGAACUAAACUAGAAGAACCCGAUUAAACUGAACCGAAACACAAACCGAACCGAAUACAAACCAAACCAAAACCACUCUAAACCAAUCUAAUUAUGGUUUACUUUAUUUGGAAAAUUAUAGAACCGAAUUAAUCAAAUCGAACCGAACCGAUAAAAUAACCGAAUCGCCCAUCCCUAGAUUUCAUUGUUAGUUUUAGAAAUUUAGAUGUUAGUUUUAGGAUAUAAGUUUAGAUGUUUGUUUUUCGAUAUAGAUUUUAGUUUUAAGAUUGAAUUAAUUUAGGAUUUAGAUGUUGUGUAAGAUUUUGAUGUUAAUUUUAGGAUUUGUUAGUUAAAGGAUUUUUGUGUUGGUAUAAUAUUCAAAAAUAUUUAUAAAAUAUAUUUUGAAUUUAACGUAAUUUUGUUAUUUUAAAAACAUUUUUCAAAACAUUUAUUAUAAUUGUACAAACUUAUCAACGUUUUAUAAAUGCUUUUAGUUUACAAAUUUUUUUCUCAUAUUUCAUAUUUUAGAAAUACUUUUAAUUAUAAAUAAUAUUUUACAAAACAUGUAAUUUAUUCAAUUUCCAAGACAUUUCUUUAUCUAAAACGAUUUUCAUAAUUUAUAACUUUUAUUUAUAUAUAUAUAUAUAUAUAUAUUAUGGUAUAAUUAAAAAUAUUUUAUAAAUUUGUUAGUUUAUAAUUUGUUAAUUUAUGAUUUUUUGUUUGAAUUUGUUAGAUAAAGGAUAUAGAUUAUAGUGUUUUUAAAAGAAACCUUUUUAUAAUUUAUUUAUAUAUUGGUAUUUUUUUAAGAAAAUUUGUAUUCUAUGUAAUUUAAAAUUUAAAAUUUAAAACGUUUUAUUUAUUUUAUUCUUUUGGUUAUUUUUAAAAAAACUUUCCGACGGAAUCCGUUGAAAUUAUUUAGUUGGAAUUUUUUCGGAAAUGUUUUUGACGGAUUCCCCACAGAUAAUUUCCGAUUAUUUUCGGGAAUCCAUUAGAAACUUAGUUUACAAAAAAAAAAAAUCCAUUGGAAACUACUGACCAAUUCUCAACAAAAAGUAUUUCCGACUGAAAUAGAAUCGACGAUACGUUUCGUUGGGUAUUCAUGGGGAAUGAUGAUUUUGACGGAAAUAUCUGUCAAAAAUGAGAUUAUUUUUCUUGUAGUGAUAAGAACUGUAGCGGGGAGGUUUGGCCAUCAUUUUUUAAACCUAAAAAGAAACGGGCCUCGUGGGAAGGACCCGUGCGGUAUUGGGCCAUUUGCAGAUUGGACUUGAUUUGACCUGCGGGAAAAAGGAACCGGCAACAAACCUUUCAUUUUACUGUUCAAUUGGCGAAAGAACAAGAGAGAGAGAGAGACUCUGUCGAUGGCGAUCUUCACCGACAAGACUGAAGGGGCUCCGGCGAUGGCAGUUCGAGGUCCGAUGGUGGUCCUGUCUUCCGUUCGUCUUCCAUAUGAAUACAUGGAGUUUCAACGAAUACUACUUUUGUCCUUUCUCAGCUGUGAUGAUACGCAAAGAAUCAACAAACUUGGAGCGUUCGAUGGCUGCAUUUUUGAGUUUCAAAAUCGUGUCAUCAUUGUGCUGGACUAAGCUCAUUUGCUCGCCACUCAGGUCUUUUCUCACUUAGUUGUUGAAAAUUUCAAAGAUGGAUAAACAAAAAAAUGGUAACAAAAUACUCAGGCAAAGGAGAAAUCUCCCAAAAACGUAAGAUGCAUCAAGGUUUUGAACUUAAGGUAAAUAGACUAAUAAUUACCCUUCUCUAUAACUUGGUGUCUCAACUUUCUGAUGGCUACCAUCUACAUCAGCGAUAACAUAGAAGAGUCAGAGAUGGAAAAUGUCAAAAUAGAUCAGAUUGCAACCUUAAAGUAAAAGCCACUAUCUUUUGAAGUAGUGUCACGUUUUGCAGUUAUGAUACUAGAUGUUGCAAGAGGUAUGAGUGUUUUUUCUUUCUUAAAACUAUACUUACUACUGAACUUAGGAUUUAGAACUCUUCAAUUAGUUAUUAGCUGACAUUGACUCUUCUCCAACAAAAAUCAGGUGAAGCAAAGGGACAGGCUCUCUGUAACCAAUUUGAAGAAAAAGAUGAUCCUAUGAAUGAAAAAGAAACAGUGUGUAAGUGUAUUAAAGUGGUUUUGGAUGCCUCAAGCUAGGAAUAACUGUACUUGAAAACAGAAUUCUCUAACCAGGUUCUCAAACCGGCUUUUUCAUCAAUAUACCAUUUUAUCAUA